GAUGAACGCUGGCGGCGUGCCUAAUACAUGCCAGUCGAGCGAACAGAUAAGGAGCUUGCUCCUCUGACGUUAGCGGCGGACGGGUGAGUAACACGUGGAUAACCUACCUAUAAGACUGGGAUAACUUCGGGAAACCGGAGCUAAUACCGGAUAAUAUAUUGAACCGCAUGGUUCAAUAGUGAAAGACGGUUUUGCUGUCACUUAUAGAUGGAUCCGCGCCGCAUUAGCUAGUUGGUAAGGUAACGGCUUACCAAGGCAACGAUGCGUAGCCGACCUGAGAGGGUGGUCGGCCACACUGGAACUGAGACAGGGUCCAGACUCCUACGGGAGGCAGCAGUAGGGAAUCUUCCGCAAUGGGCGAAAGCCUGACGGAGCAACGCCGCGUGAGUGAUGAAGGUCUUCGGAUCGUAAAACUCUGUUAUUAGGGAAGAACAAAUGUGUAAGUAACUAUGCACGUCUUGACGGUACCUAAUCAGAAAGCCACGGCUAACUACGUG
rnacentral:rRNA from 1 species